rnacentral:lncRNA from 1 species
AAUAUUGUUUUAUUUUUAUUUUAUGAUGGAUACAACUUUGUAGUCAACUUGUUACAAUUUACUUAAAUUGGUGAAUAGGGGUCUGACAAACAUACACACCCUUCAACUACAGCAGAUAUGCUUCUACCACUAUUAAAUAUUGAGGUUUCCCCAUAUGACAAGUAUUUUUCAAUUGAAAAGAUAUGGAUCCUGAUGUUAAAAUUGAGUUUGAAACCACAAGACUAAAUUAUCUGGACUCUUAGGAGAACUGUAAUUUUAUCUCAUUAUUCUGUCCAUUUUUAUUAUAUUACCCUGUUUUAUUAUCUUCAUAGCUCUUCAUUGUGAUUAUCAUGUACAUGUGUCUACUAGUUUGUUACAUGUGGUCUUGACUAAAAUAUAAGUUCACUGAGUACAGGGACCUCAUCUUUUCAUCCCAGCACCCUUAUCACCUAGAAUGAUACCAGGCACAUAGUACACACUUACUAAAUAUUUACUGAAUAGGUGAAUGAAUGAAGCUUUUACUUAUCAUCCAUCCAUUCAUCUGUAUAUCUACUUAACCAUCAUGUACCUAUGCAUCUAUCAUAUGCAGCUCACCAUGAUUACUGUUGUUUGUUUCGUUAUCUACUUGAAAGACUAAGAUUUACAUAUAGAGAUAUUUAUAUUCUGUGAAAUAACAUUCUGUAGGAAGAGUCUUCAGGUGAAAGCCCACAGACCCAACAAACUGGUGACUGAAGGAGUCAUCUUUCAACUCAUGUCCUCGGUUGUACCAGGCAGUAAUGACAAGAAGACAGCCAGCAAAGAAAAUGACCUGGAGCAGGCACCGCUGGGAACUUGUUUCAUCAGUCUUAUUAUGCUUUGCGUUGACUUCAUAUUUUAAUAACCUAUUCCCAAAUACCUUACUAACACAGCGUAAAUCGCCCCUUUGUACAAGACGGUACAUACUUGAUGCCCAAUAAUAACUUCUUUGUUCCGCUCUCCCCCUGCCCAGUACAGUUCCAUUUAUUAUCUAACCUUACUUGGGCAUUUUCAGCAAUCUUUUCUAUUUCCUCCACACACAUUUUCUAAAAAGCCAGCUGUGCAAUUUAGACCAUCCCAGGAGAUUAUUGACCAGUUGGGUUUGCACUUAUGAGCACAUAACCGAAGCUGACACGGCCUUUAUCAGAAUUAAUAGCUCUUGGAACAACUUGCUUUCACAGCAUUUUACAAACAGCUUCAUAAUACAUCUAAGGGCCAGCCAGGUUUUAAUUAGUGUCACUAAUAGCUAAGUAUUCGGAGGUGAAGUAAUUAAGUGUCUGGACCAAGAGGAGUAAGAGGUAGAAGGUGAACUUGGAGCCUGUGCCAGUUCAAGUUGGUGGAAGUCUCCACCUGUCAUUGGGGUAAUACUGGAGAGCUGUUCUCUGCUAAGAAGAGGCUUCUGUUAGUUCUGAUCAGGAAUUACUGCCAGCAAACUCGGUUUGCACGUGGGCAACCACAUUUUGAAACAUCCAGGGCUUCCCUCUUCCCACUCUCUCUCUGGUUUCUCCUUUUUUUUAAAUUUUGGUUGCCCUAUUUUACAAGCAAAGCAGCUGUCUGUGUGGGGAAGAGGUGCACCAUUCAGAUUCAUGGUUUACAGUUUGCUAAAUGUAAGCCUGUCUAAUCCUUUCAUAUCAUUGGAUUACUCUCCCCAAGCAAAUUUUCCCAGCUUUCAUCAUGAGAAUGGGCUCCCUGCCAAGAAACCACUCAUCCCAGCUCAGGUCCACCUGGCCUUUCCCAAUUGUCAACUCCUCCAUCUUAGGCCAUUAAAAGGGCUUUCAAAUGAAUAUUUGCACAACCAUUUCUGAAAGCCAAACACAAAAUCUUUGUUCCACAGAGUCACUAAUCUCUAUUCAGGAUUCUAGUGUGAAUUAUCAUCAGGAAAAGAAAGAAAGAAAACCUUUGAUCACUGGGUCAAGUUUUCGCCUAAUAUCAUUUAAUCAGAUAAUAAUAAAUUUAUUUAAAGUUUAAACAAUAAUCAAGGUCAGGUGAGAGGAUUUAGAGAAGAAAACAUACCUAUUAACAUUAGGUGGCUGCAUUGGGGAGGUAGACUAAGAAAGCCAUCCUAAAAUUCCUAAACGCUCCAUAAAUGCUGUAUCAAUUAAACUUUUAAUGGAUUUAAAAAAAUAUAUUCAUGGUUAUUUGCUACCUAAUUCCCUCCGCAGGUCUGAAGAAGGAGACCUUCUUGGGUUUCAAAGGGAAAGGAUUCUUUGUGACUGCAAAACAGAACAAGGGGUUUGAUUCACACACACACUCCUCUGUCAAUCAUAUCUGAAAUUUUGAACAUGUGUAAACUCUCUCACAGAGCCACACGAUAGCACCUUGCCAUUUGAUCACUGAUUUUGAUCCUUCCUGUGCUUAAACUUUAACAACUGUAAGUAAGCAAUUGGGGGAGGGGAAAGGGCUGAUAGAUCCCCUUCUCAACUCAGGUACUCAUGGGAUUUUAGGAUUUAAGAGCCACAUUCAUCGUGCAGGCAAACACCCAGGCAUCCACCUUGAACACUAAAUCUGGUUAAACUGUUAUGAAAAAAGUACUUCUGUAUAUUUCCCACUUUUUACAUAAAACUUUCCAGAGUCUGAGUGAAUUCAGCAUCCAAAACACUCAAUAGUGUAUACUCAGGAAUUCCUAUUGUAUGCUCUACUAGCCCCUCUGAGCAAAGCCCAACUAGCAUCCCUAAGAACGUGGGUUCUUUGGUCCCUGGCCUCACUCAGCGGGUUAAGGAUCCUGCGUUGCCAUGACCUGUGGUGUAGGCUGCAGAGGAGGGCUCAGAUCCAGAGUUGCUAUGGCUGUGGUGUACGCCGGCAGCUGCAGCUCUAAUUCAAUCCCUAGCCUGGGAACUUCCAUAUGCCGUAUGUGUGGCCCUGAAAAGAAAAGGAAAAAAAAAAAAAAAAAAAGCCUACACUCAAGAGCAAUGUGCUGGGUGAGCUUCUACUAUGCUAAUUGUAUUGAUUUACUUGAGCCCAAGCAGUCAAAAGUAGGAAGACAGGAAAAUGCAUCUUGCGGCCCAGGGUCUCCUUUCCAUAUUCUCUAGCCUUUCCAUUGCUUUCCAGAGCUCCUGUAGCCAGAGGGGAUUGGGGAGCAGUCAGGGAGGUGGGCAGGCGGCCACCUUAUCCAAACAUGGUAAUGAUAUUAGGCAGCUCAGAUCCUUUCACAUUCCCUUUCCUCCAAUCUUCCAGGUGACAGGGAGCAGGAAAGUCUUGCAACCCACACUGCAAAGAGGGCACCUCUGGUUUAAAUAAAGUAGUCCUUAUGAGCAUGGAAAUUUGAAGAGAAGAACUAGAAAAUGCCUUGCUAUAUGGUUGACUGACAAUACAUUUUUUUAGAAUUUAAUUUAAUUUAAUUUUUAUAGCCACAUCCAUGGCAUAUGGAAGUUCCUGGGCCAGGCCAGAUCUUUUAACCCACUGUACUGGGCCGGGGAUUGAACUUGCACCUCUGCAGAACCCUGAGCCACUGCAGUCAGAUUCUUAACCCACUGCACCACAGCGGGAUCUCCAAUACAUUUUUAUUUUAAAGUAAAUUCCUUCAAGGCAAAGGACCAUAUUUUCUAUGAGGAAUAGAGGGUGACAUCUCACAAACAGGAGGUGAUGAUAAGAAACUCAACGGGAACUCAGCUCCCAUUCAUAGAAGUCUGUUUGCUGUGAUAUGUACGCACCCUCCCAAGUUUCACUUUGCAUUUAUGGUUCAUCAGACCCUCAGAUUCAAGGUUGAAAGUCAAAGUGAAACCCCACAGGAAGAAAACCACACUGAUUUUUACCUGCUUUAAUGUCAGUGUUUUGAGAAACUAACAUGAAAUCAGUCCAGUUCACUCUACACUCACCGGUGCUUUGGGGUAUAUAAAAUAUCUCUGGUAAAGUGUCGGCAAAUAUGACUUGCCUCAAAAAUGUUCACCAAUGACAGGGGUUUUGAGUAAAACCAAAGACUUCACAUUGAUCUUUAAAUAUUUUUAAAGACCUUUUCUUAAACAUCUCAAUUCAGUCAAAUAUUUAAUGGUUGAAAGAUUUAAUACAAGGCACUUCUAAAUUUUGACCUGUGGUAAGCUUUAUGAAAACCUGAAGCCCUCAAAAUAUAUGUCAAAAGUCACCAUGAAAAUUUCUCCGUUAAGAUGCAUAUAAUAACACUAUCGAACCAAAGAGAGAAAAAGAGAAAGAGCUAAAAGAGAAAGAACUCAAAGAGUGAGGGCAAACUGGAAGGAAAGACGAAGAAAACUGGAGGGGAAAAAUGAUCCAAAGAUGAAUUUCUUUUUCAUCCAUUUCUGGAACAGGUAGAAUUUUUACUAGAAGAUGCCUGAUCUGAAAUGCUCAGAUCGUCCUGGAGUUGAGUUUAGUCAGCUCUGUUCACCUGUGGCCAUCUUCAUCAUAUCUGGACAGCAUUCUGGGUGCUUUUCCAUCUGUCUCUCUGAAAGGAUAUAACAGGGCCAGCCCAGUUUCUGUAAGGCCUCGGGGAGGCUAAGAGUCAAAGGAAGAAGUAGGAAGGAAGCCAAGAUCCUACUGCUGGCAAUGUGCAAACAGCAGAGCUGGAGUGGCUGAGUCAAGGACCUGUCACGGUCAUAGAGCCAGAGCUGGUCAGGUAGGAGCAGGUCGGCAGGACAGAGAAGGGAGGAGUUAGAGGAAAUUCCUAGAAAACUGUCUAAUGGGAAAACUUGGAAGCUUUAUUAUCCUCCUUUUUAAAAAGUAAAUGAUAACCCUUGGCUUUAGUUUGCUGUCUCCACUGAUAAAAUUCAAAGGGCUCCAAGUGGGAAUUUCUUAGAGAUAAGAAGAAACAGGGCUUGCUUACCCCACUAUACUGCAUGCCCAGUUACUCAUCUGCACCCCAACUGGUAGUGAUUUCUUGUGGGCAGUGGUUUCUGUGUCUCCGUCCUUAAGGCCUAGUUCAGUGCCUCGAGUUAGGUGGACAUUCAGUAAAAGAAUUCAACUCAGCAACUAAGUGGACAGAGGGUCAUGGAUAGAUACUACUUGGCACUUUCAAUAUGGACUGUCUUAGAAUGUUUUUGAGGCAUUUGUCCCCAGGGUCAACUAAAUAUUAUCACUCUCUAGGAAUCCUCAUGAGUACUACACUCAUACUCAGCUCACGUUCUCUAGAAUCAAAGAGGCUGCUUCCUUUCUGGAAACACACAAGGAAGAAUCUUAUAGGCAGCCCAUCUUCCUGCCUUUUUGCCUGUAAACAAAGUCUCUCUUUGCCUCAAGACUAUAGUAUGUGUUUCCAAGCUGCAAAGAAACCGUUGAAAAUUAAACCACAGAACAGCAUUUUAAUGAGAACAUGAUUACCUAACACCCCAGUGUGGUUUCAGAUGGCCUUGUGCCAACCUUCCAAAACACUACCAGAAGCACAGAGUGAAGAAAAAAAAAGUGACUAGCUCCCCUUAGUGAAGGUAGCUUUCUUGGAGGGCUUUCAGAAAGAUCUCUCUAGAAGGACAUGGGUUAUUGUUGUCUGCAGUUAACAAAACUUUCUUCCUGUUUUGAAAAGUUUGAGAGAGAGAAAGGGGGGCCACCCUUGAAUUAGUACAUGAUGUCCUGAACUAGGUGUUUUUAGCACCAAAGCUCUGCUGUACGUGUCUGUACCCAGUACUGUCUAUUUCAUCAGCUUACCUUCUGCGCACCCACUUGCUAUUUCUGUAGCCUAGGUUACAAGACCGCAGGUGUUGAUGCUCUACUAGCCCCUCUGAGCAAAGCCCAAGCGAGAAUUGUUCCUCCCUGGUUGGCAGCGUGUGCUGAGCACGUCUGGUCUUGGGCACAGAGGAUGGAGACCCCAGGCUCAGGCCGGGGUCAUUUCUCAGGGACAUCCUUUCCUUGUUCUCCACCAGCCUAGCACUUAAGCACUUGGGGUUGCGUUUUCAUUUCCACGUUGGGUUUCCUGACUUAACCCCUGAACUGUCUUCUGCAGUUGUCUUCCCACCAGCUCAACGACAACCAGAUGGCCCCUUGAGGCCACAGGAAAAGGCAGAUCACAGAGCUGGAGGACACUGUGCUGGGAUCCCUUCAUUCCAGAGAUGAAGAAAUCAAGCCCCAGAAGAAACAAAGAGAUUCAUCCCGAAGGAUGAAGAACGAAGUCUGUUGCCCUAGAUGAACUGUCUUGGAUUCCUUUCAGUAAUAUAGUAACUUGUAACUUAAACAACCACUUGCACCCAACUUGGUGGGGACAGAGCAGGCAUAAUCUAUGCUACUUCCUUUCCUUGCAAAGUAGUCAGCACUGUGCUAAGCCUUGAGAAGGAUAAGUGGAAAAGUACCACAGACUCUUGCCCUCAAAAAGUUAUAAAACCUUGAAGGUAACAACACAUGCACCUUAGGCAUAGAAACAAUACAAAUAAAUGCAAAGCGGGGUGCAAGAAGAUGCUUAAUGGCAUAGUACAAUGAAAAGUGACAUGUUCUCCCUCUUUAUUCCUUUCACUCAAUUAACUUACUGGUUUUGUCUUCAUUUUGAGAUCACCUCUUUCAGGAAGCCUUCCCUGGUUUGAUGCAGGUUGGACUCUUAAGUGCCUGUGCACUUGUCUGGGUCCCCAAGAACCUCUGAGGAUAGGUUCCCGGUCAGCCUUGGGUAUCCCCACAUUUAGUGCCUGAAUCAGAGCCAGUGCUUAGUAAACAUUUGGGGAAGAAAGAAGCUCCGUGUCAACUGAGAACCUUUUAGUCAUCAAGUGGGAUUGGAGAUGGGCUCCAAAAGAAUUUGAAUCAAAGCAGAAGGGGGUCCAGAAAUAAGGGGAUAAUACCUCCCCCAUAGAAAUGUCACCACAAGCAGUGCUGGUGAGAAGUCAGUGAGGAGCCUCCCUAUGAAUGAAGUAGUCAUCUUUGAUGAAUAGGAUCAGGAAAGUGCUGUUGGUAUGUCAGAUGAAGCCGGACUUGGACAUCAGGGAGGCUAAGUGGAUGAUGGCAGGGUAUGAUGAAGGACGAUGGGAUGCCCUUUAAAAAAAGAGAAUUAGAUAAAACUCAAACCAGGAGAAAGCUGCAAACAGCAAACCACUCAAUUCAGUUUUAGAAUCUGAUUUUGAGAAGCAUCUUCCUACACUUGCAAAGAGCUUUCAGGUUUCCCUUUGGUAGCUGGAUUUUUUCCCCCUUCUCAAUGUUGACAUGGACCAGGGAGCCAGUCUGAUGACCCUCAGCACUUGAACGCAACACAGAAGCCCAGAUAGAACUUCAUGACAGUGUCCAGGCAAGCCUUCCCCUUUCUGGAACUGAGGCUGGGCUGCAGGGCAGGCAGAGAGAGAAAGAAGGUGCUGGCGAGAU